rnacentral:rRNA from 1 species
GUGGGGAAUCUUCCGCAAUGGACGAAAGUCUGACGGAGCAACGCCGCGUGAGUGAAGAAGGUUUUCGGAUCGUAAAGCUCUUUCGUUAGGGACGAACGUGCUCUUUGUGAAUAAUGAGGAGUAAUGACGGUACCUAAAUAAGAAGCCACGGCUAACUACGUGCCAGCAGCCGCGGUAAUACGUAGGUGGCAAGCGUUGUCCGGAAUUAUUGGGCGUAAAGCGCGCGCAGGCGGGAUAUCAAGUCUGUCUUAAAAGUGCGAGGCUCAACCUCGUGAGGGGACAGAAACUGGUAUUCUUGAGGGUCGGAGAGGAAAGUGGAAUUCCAAGUGUAGCGGUGAAAUGCGUAGAGAUUUGGAAGAACACCAGUGGCGAAGGCGACUUUCUGGACGAUGUCUGACGCUGAGGCGCGAAAGCUAGGGGAGCGAACGGGAUUAGAAACCCCUGUAGUCC